GACGUAGGGCGCGAGCGUUGUCCGGAUUUAUUGGGCGUAAAGAGCUCGGAGGCGGCUUGUCGCGUCGACUGUGAAAACCCGCGGCUCAACUGCGGGCUUGCAGUCGAUACGGGCAGGCUAGAGUUCGGUAGGGGAGACUGGAAUUCCUGGUGUAGCAGUGAAAUGCGUAGAUAUCAGGAGGAAUACCGAUGGCGAAGGCAGGUCUCUGGGCUGACACUGACGCUCAUGCACGAAAGCGUGGGGGAGCAAACAGG
rnacentral:rRNA from 1 species